AGAGUGAACGCUGGCGGUAGGCCUAACACAUGCAAGUCGAACGGCAGCACAGUAGGAGCUUGCUCUUACGGGUGGCGAGUGGCGGACGGGUGAGGAAUACAUCGGAAUCUACCUUUUGGUGGGGGAUAACGUAGGGAAACUUACGCUAAUACCGCAUACGCCCUUCGGGGGAAAGCCGGGGACCAGCAAUGGCCUGGCGCUGAUAGAUGAGCCGAUGUCGGAUUAGCUAGUUGGUGAGGUAAUGGCUCACCAAGGCGACGAUCCGUAGCUGGUCUGAGAGGAUGAUCAGCCACACUGGAACUGAGACACGGUCCAGACUCCUACGGGAGGCAAGCAGGUGGGAAUAGUGGACAAGUGGGCGCAAGCCUGAUCCAGCCAUACCGCGUGGAGAAGAGGCCUUGGGUAUAACGCCCUUUGCGUAGGAAAGAAAGCUAGUUACGUUAACGUACCGGUGUU
rnacentral:rRNA from 1 species